CCUACGGGUGGCAGCAGUGGGGAAUAUUGCACAAUGGGGGAAACCCUGAUGCAGCGACGCCGCGUGAGUGAAGAAGUACUUCGUUAUGUAAAGCUCUAUCAGCAGGGAAGAAAAUGACGGUACCUGAGUAAGAAGCCCCGGCGAACUACGUGCAAGCAGCCGCGGUAAUACGUCGGGGGCAAGGGUUAUCCGGAUUUACUGGGUGUAAAGGGGGCGUAGACGGCAGUGCAAGUCUGGAGUGAAAGGCGGGGGCUCAACCCCCGGACUGCUCUGGAAACUGGAUGGCUGGAGUGCAGGAGAGGUAAGUGGAAUGCGUGGUGUAGCGGUGAAAUGCAUAGAUAUUAGGAGGAACACCAAUGGCGAAGGCAGCUUACUGGACUGUAACUGACGUUGAGGCUCGAAAGCGUGGGGAGCAAACAGGAUUAGAUACCCCAGUAGUC
rnacentral:rRNA from 1 species